rnacentral:rRNA from 1 species
AUUGAACGCUGGCGGCAGGCCUAACACAUGCAAGUCGAGCGGAUGAAAGGGGCUUGCUCCUGGAUUCAGCGGCGGACGGGUGAGUAAUGCGCAGGAAUCUACCUAGUAGUGGGGGAUAACGUUUCGAAAGGAACGCUAAUACCGCAUACGUUCUGAGGAAGAAAGCAGGGGAUCGUAAGACCUUGCGCUAUUAGAUGAGCUUGCGUCCGAUUAGCUAGUUGGUGGGGUAAAGGCCUACCAAGGCGACGAUCGGUAACUGGUCUGAGAGGAUGAUCAGUCACACUGGAACUGAGACACGGUCCAGACUCCUACGGGAGGCAGCAGUGGGGAAUAUUGGACAAUGGGGGCAACCCUGAUCCAGCCAUGCCGCGUGUGUGAAGAAGGCCUUCGGGUUGUAAAGCACUUUAAGCGGGGAGGAAGGCCUGAUGGCUAAUAUCCAUCGGGAUUGACGUUACCCGCAGAAUAAGCACCGGCAAACUUCGUG